rnacentral:rRNA from 1 species
GGGCCCGCACAAGCAGCGGAGCAUGUGGAUUAAUUCGAUGCAACGCGAAGAACCUUACCAGGUCUUGACAUCCUCUGACGUAUGCGGAAACGUAUAUUCCCUUCGGGGCAGAGAGACAGGUGGUGCAUGGUUGUCGUCAGCUCGUGUCGUGAGAUGUUGGGUUAAGUCCCGCAACGAGCGCAACCCUUAUAUUCAGUUACUAACGGGUGAUGCCGAGGACUCUGGAUAGACUGCCGUGGACAACACGGAGGAAGGUGGGGACGACGUCAAAUCAUCAUGCCCCUUAUGACCUGGGCUUCACACGUGCUACAAUGGCCGCAACAAAGAGAAGCGAAGUCGCAAGGCGGAGCGGAUCUCAAAAAAGCGGUCCCAGUUCGGAUCGUGGGCUGCAACCCGCCCACGUGAAGUCGGAGUUGCUAGUAAUCGCGGAUCAGCAUGCCG